rnacentral:lncRNA from 1 species
AGUAUCUCUGGGGCCCUGUCCCCAUGUGGAUCUCUCUCAUCCUGGGAUGCUGAAGUGGAAAAGGACCUGGCUGCCACGGUGGAUGGGCCUCCAGCGCUUUCCAGGCUAACUCAGCGAGCCCAGUCUUCUUAGUCAACUGAGAGACAUGUCUACAGAACAGACCAUGUGGCCAACUCCUCCUCCUCCCCAUGCCCCAGGCAAGAGGACUCUGGGAAGACAUCCAGGAAGCAAGGAGUCUGUAGCCAGCCCCCACCCCCACCCCCAGACUGGAGAGAAGAAAAGGAAUUGGAGGAGAAGGAAUGGGAUAAGGGUGGGGGUUUUCUGAGACCCACAUUCUCUCUGACAUGCCCACUGAGCCUCCCCA